GACGUGGGCGCGAGCGUUGUCCGGAUUUAUUGGGCGUAAAGAGCUCGUAGGCGGUGUGUCGCGUCGGCCGUGAAAACCUGCAGCUUAACUGUGGGCUUGCGGUCGAUACGGGCAUCACUGGAGUUCGGCAGGGGAGACUGGAAUUCCUGGUGUAGCGGUGAAAUGCGCAGAUAUCAGGAGGAACACCGGUGGCGAAGGCGGGUCUCUGGGCAACAACUGACGCUGAGGAGCGAAAGCGUGGGGAGCGAACAGG
rnacentral:rRNA from 1 species